ACGGAGGGGGCUAGCGUUGUUCGGAAUUACUGGGCGUAAAGCGCACGUAGGCGGCUUUGUAAGUUAGAGGUGAAAGCCCGGGGCUCAACUCCGGAAUUGCCUUUAAGACUGCAUCGCUAGAAUUGUGGAGAGGUAAGUGGAAUUCCGAGUGUAGAGGUGAAAUUCGUAGAUAUUCGGAAGAACACCAGUGGCGAAGGCGACUUACUGGACACAUAUUGACGCUGAGGUGCGAAAGCGUGGGGAGCAAACAG
rnacentral:rRNA from 1 species